rnacentral:rRNA from 1 species
AUUGAACGCUGGCGGCAGGCCUAACACAUGCAAGUCGAGCGGAUGAAGGGAGCUUGCUCCUGGAUUCAGCGGCGGACGGGUGAGUAAUUCCUAGGAAUCUGCCUGGUAGUGGGGGAUAACGUCCGGAAACGGGCGCUAAUACCGCAUACGUCCUGAGGGAGAAAGGGAGGGAUCUUCAGACCUCACGCUAUCAGAUGAGCCUAGGUCGGAUUAGCUAGUUGGUGGGGUAAAGGCCUACCAAGGCGACGAUCCGUAACUGGUCUGAGAGGAUGAUCAGUCACACUGGAACUGAGACACGGUCCAGACUCCUACGGGAGGCAGCAGUGGGGAAUAUUGGACAAUGGGCGAAAGCCUGAUCCAGCCAUGCCGCGUGUGUGAAGAAGGUCUUCGGAUUGUAAAGCACUUUAAGUUGGGAGGAAGGGCAGUAAGUUAAUACCUUGCUGUUUUGACGUUACCAACAGAAUAAGCACCGGCUAACUUCGUG